AUUGAACGCUGGCGGCAUGCCUUACACAUGCAAGUCGAACGGCAGCACGGGGGCAACCCUGGUGGCGAGUGGCGAACGGGUGAGUAAUACAUCGGAACGUGCCCAGUAGUGGGGGAUAGCUCGGCGAAAGCCGGAUUAAUACCGCAUACGACCUACGGGUGAAAGCGGGGGACCGCAAGGCCUCGCGCUAUUGGAGCGGCCCAUGUCAGGUGAGGUUGUUGGGGGGGUAAAGGCCGACCAAGGCGACGAUGUGUAGCCGGUCUGAGAGGACGACCAGCCACACUGGGACUGAGACACGGCCCAGACUCCUACGGGAGGCAGCAGUGGGGAAUUUUGGACAAUGGGCGCAAGCCUGAUCCAGCCAUGCCGCGUGCGGGAAGAAGGCCUUCGGGUUGUAAACCGCUUUUGUCAGGGAAGAAAUCUCCUGGGCCAAUACCCCGGGAGGAUGACGGUACCUGAAGAAUAAGCACCGGCUAACUACGUGCCAGCAGCCGCCGUAAUAC
rnacentral:rRNA from 1 species